UGCCAGCAGCCGCGGUAAUACGGAGGGGGCAAGCGUUGUUCGGAAUUAUUGGGCGUAAAGGGCACGCAGGCGGCUAGGCAAGUUGGUGGUGAAAGCCCUCGGCUCAACCGAGGAAUUGCCCCCAAAACUGCUUAGCUUGAGUCCCGGAGAGGGUGACGGAAUUCCCAGUGUAGCGGUGAAAUGCGUAGAUACUGGGAGGAACACCAGUGGCGAAGGCGGCUUUCUGGACCGAUACUGACGCUGAGACGCGAAAGCGUGGGGAGCAAACAGGAUUAGAUA
rnacentral:rRNA from 1 species